CAACAGUGCAGGAAGCCCCUCCUCACUGCAGGGAGGACCCAGUGGGUGACGACAGCCGCUGUCAGGGACUGGGUGACUGCUGUUCUCAGGGUGUCGCCACUGCUGUUCUCUUUACAGAGAUGCAGUCAGCGGUCAGCGGGCAGAUGUCCAGAGACCUCUGAGAUGGCCUCAGGCCUACAGUGAGGGGCAGCAGCCAGCCGAGGGCUGCAGCUCCAGAUUGCAGCUGGCUCACUGUUGCCCUGGACCCAGACUGAGAAGCAUCAGAGAAGAGGACAUGGAGGAGAAGGCAGCAUGGAAGGGUCCCUGGGCAAGGGCUUUGUGUAUGAGAAGAAGCAGGCAGAAGACCUGAAUGAACAAGUACCUUCGUGCUGUCUAUGUUUGCGUGUCUAGUCUGCCGAUCUACACACGCGCCUGGAAAGCAGCUCUGGAUGGAUCCCACCCGCCUUACCCUCCCCCUCUUCCCUUUCUCAGCCAGUGGCACUGCUGGCCCACCUCGCUGCUCCACCCAGGGCCCCGGCAUCCACUCCUACCUUGCUGAGCCUGUCACCAUCCCUCUCCCCCAGGUUUCUGCAGCUUCCCGGGCUGCAUUUCUUCCUGUACCUCUGUGUAGCUCCCUUUCAUUUCACCCCAAGACCCUCCCCGAGCUUCUUCAGCCUCUCUUGAGCUUCUCUGGAACAUGGUCUUCAAGCUCCUUCAACGCUCACGACCUUUCUGCCCUUUGGCUCAGAAUGCUCCCUCUGCCCCUUCAUGUGGCUGGCCAUCAUCUUGGAAUCCUCAGCUGACAUGCUACUUCAGAGGGACUUUCUCCAUCAACUGCCCUCUUCCAGGCUGAGUCCCUGGGUUCAUUUCUGACAUAACAGCCCAUUUGUUCUUCAAAACAUUUACUGUAAUAGGCAAUAUGAGAUAUUUUCUUUAUUGUUCAUGAUAAAAAAUUUCUGCCUAGAAUCUUGUACCUACAAGAGCAGGCAUUUUGUCUUGAUUAUUAUUGAUUAUUGGCAUCCAUAGCUGCUGUCUAAAUACUAGUUUAAUAAAUGAGUGACC
ensembl:lncRNA